rnacentral:lncRNA from 1 species
CUUUUUUUUUUUUUUUUUUUUUUUUUUGUGUUUGCUGAUUCUGUUUAGUUCAGCUAAUCUUACUCGAAAGCCAAGGCACAUUGAAGAAAGAAAGAAAGAAAAUUAUACACAAAUAUUACAGCACAAAAACAUUUUAGGCAUCAAGCCAUCAUUUUAUUUAUAAAUAUUCAUUGUAAUUAGUAUAUCAAACACACAAUCACAGCCACAACAAAUUUAAUAAAGCUCUCUCACCAAGCUUAUAACAUGACAUACAUAACCUUAACAAGCUUUUAUUUCAUACUCACACCAUUCUAUCUCUUAUUAUUAUUCAACUAGCGAAAUAACUAUGCAUGUUCAUGCCUUGACAAGUGAAGCAUCCACGUCUUUUCCAGCAUGAAUCAGCCAGUGGAGGUACUUAGUUGGAGCAGGCUCAUUCUCAUUGAUAUUCUCAUACUCAAUUGUCCAUUUGGCAUAGUUGGACUGACUUUUUGGAAUAACUUGUAAGGUAGCCUUGUAGCUCUUUAAUUGUUCCAAAAUAUGUCCUCCAACUGCUUCUGCAGUGACAGUCUUGUUCUCUUCAUCCACCGUAAGCCUUUCUUUCAGAGUCUCAACUUUUCCAUCUGGGCAGUAAAAUAUUUAUCAAAUUAUGCCAUUAUUAUAGGGAUAUUCUACCAAAUUGGUGGCAGAAAAACAUUAAGUUAUGAUGCAUAUCAUCUUGAAAUUCCCAGGAAAAUCACCAUAAUAUCAAACUGUUCUACACUAACUUUUAAAAAAAAAAUAAUUCAUGCAACUCAAAUUAGUAACUAUCAAUCUUACAAAGUAGAGAGUUGGUUUUUGCUACCUAUUGCAUAAGUCCAGAGCUUGACAGAGCCCUUAGUUUUCCAGUCACCUUGAUGAACUUUAACACCAUGAACUUUGUCGGAGCAAAGAUUUGGAAGUUUGUGCGCUUUACCACCAAAGCUGUGGAAGAACUCAUCAGGAUCAGACUUAAUCUUUAUCUCAGCUUCUAACUUUCCAGCUAGAAUUGGACUAGCCAUAAUUGGUUGUAGUAAUGCUGAAAAAUCGCUAUGCACCUUUUCCUAGUAAAUGUUCUACCAACUAAACUGGCUGCACCAUGAUUUAUAGAAUCAAAUUUUCAUUUCACAGUAGCUUUUAGAUUAUUACGUAGAUUAAGUCAACAUUUUGUGCAAAACUGUUUAGCAUAGAUGGUUAAUUGAGUGAAUGCAAAACUUUUUUAUGACAAAGUAUGUUCUAUUUGCAGUAACAAACUUGAUAGUUUUAUUAGAGAGGUAAAAAAUGUCAUAGCAUUUAUUCACGUGGUAAGUAGACAAAAAAAAGAUUUUUUUUCCAAACUUUAUAAUGUUUUUGGGAUGAUUGGAAAGGGAAAUCAGAGUAUGUUGACAAAUUGUUUUUUUUUUUUUCCUUUUUUUAUAGGUACUCACGCGUAUUGUUACAAGAAUGGAAAUGAAAAAAAUUUAUUUUGGCCCUUCAAAUCAAGAAAUUGUACAUUUGUCCGCUUCAUGAAUGGUGAAGCACAUCAGAAAGUCAUGUUUUUUUGUUUAUUCAUUUUUCUUUCUUUGUUCGAUACUCAACAACACGAUGGAUACGCUCAGCAAAAGUCGCAAACGCCAAAAUCUUGAUGAAAGCAGCUCUUCAGCCAUCAUCAUGUUGAAAAUACUGCAAAACAGUAGUGAAGGGCAUUGCAUUCAUGUAUCAAUAAGGCUACUUCUAAGACAAGAGAAAAGGAUUUGAAUAUUUUCUUUUUAGCUGCACCAAUCUAAUUGUUUGCUAAUUUUGGGCAAUUGACUAGUAUGAUCAUCUCAUACAUUAUCUGUAUUUGAUAAUUGAUAUAGGUAAUUACCUGCCAAUGAAUAAAACCAAUUACACGGUUUAAAAAGGGAACCUAAUUGGUACAAAUUGAGAUAGUUACGUUGACAACUACAUUGUGGCAUUGGAGAGAGGGUUGAAUUAGAUGAUAAGUUAAGAGAGAUUGUAAGUAAGAGGUUUAGGGUUAAAGACCUCCCACUUACAAGCCAAAAAAAAGACAACUUCAAGGUGGCAUAAAGUGACUAAAUUGAAUGUUCAAUUUAAAAAGUGAGAACUAAUGCCAUAAUACAGAGUAACAACUUCAAAGUGGUGGUUGCUAAUAAUUGUCAUCAUAUAUAUGCAAUAUUUAUUGAAAACCUAGGACCAAUUGCCAUAUACAGGGAUAAAGAUCUUACUAAUCAGUUGAUCCAUCUGAUUCGAUUACAUUCUUUUUCUUUUUCUUUUGCUUUUCAGAGAAUUGGAAUUUUAUUGCUGUAAAUCUUUUUACUGCAGCAGAAAUCUAUAUGCUCCACUACAAGCAUAUAUAUUAACCCUUGAACUAGCCAGUCCAGGUUUUUUUGUUGGACUAGGCUCAUUCUGGUUCAGUUUUUCAUAGUCAAUGGUACAUUUGGCAAAGCUGGAGUCACCUCUGGAGAUAACUUGUAACGUUGCUUUAUAGUUCUUGUAGUGCUUCAUACAAUCUCCAUCUAUUGCCUCAGCAGCAUUGGUCUUGUUCUCCUCGUCAAUUUUGAGCCUCUCUUUGUAUACCUCAACUUUCCCAUCUAUAUUUGCAUCACAAAGAAAUUCAUUAGUGGCUUUUCUUAACAUUGAAUAAUGUUUUACUCUUAAUUUGUUGUUUCCUAUAUUAUCUAGCUAUUAGGCUCAAUUUGCCACAUUUUGGGAAAAACGAAUUUAACAAGAAAAUGUAAUGGAGAAAAGUAUCAAUUAUUAAAAACUAUUGAUGCUUCGUUACGCCAAACUAAACUACAAUAUAGACUCCUUAUCCUUGAUGUCUUUCUCAUUUCGUUAGGAAAAUUAGAUAAUUGACUGAGUAUGCUAACUACUUCACAAGCUAGAUCGCAUAAAAAAAAUAAAAAUUCAUAAAACUUAAAGGAGUAAAUGAACAUUAAGAUACAGUAAAGUGAUGGUUUUACCUAAGUACAACAAAUAAGAAGUAGGCGUGGCAUUAUUUUUUGUGCAAAAGGGUAAAAACUUUUAUAAUGAAAGUGUUACAAUUCAAGAGAUGAGUGGUAGUAUUGAAAGAAAGAGUGUAAGUGAGAGAUUCCGAAUUCGAAACCUCGCACUUACACUAAAAAAAUGAUAGUAAUUUUAAAAGUUUAGUAGAAGGUCCUCUUCUUCUUCUUCUUCUUUUCUUUGUGCUUAUCUGUUGCCUUUAUAAAACUCAAUAGAAAAAUCUUAUUAUUCUACCGUCUUCACAUAAGAAGCAAUAAUAUAGAGUCAAUUUCUUUGCAACCAGUGAAAGGAUAAGGAGAUAAAGUCAAUUGAGGAGGCUAAUUACGAUAAUAUGUUAAGCUCAAUAAAAAUGCCAUGAAACAUAUGAUAAGAGUUGUUGUCAAGAAAUUAUACAAAAAGAUACCGAGGGAAGCCCAAAGCCCGUGAAAGGAAUAUAAAAAAUAAAAGAUUGUGAAUAUAUCAAAUAAAAUUGCGGUCCAUGGGCACGAAAUAAGUUGAGUACAAAUUUUGGUAUGAUCGAUUCAUAAAUUUCUGCUGAAAGAUUGUCUCCUGAAUUAUUUGUGGACAUCGAUUGUGAUGGCUCGGAAAACUUAGUUUCCUCUAAUUCAACAAAUUAGUUAUAUGUUGAUUUAUUUGAUCGAUUCAUAUAUAGCUUGCUUUAUCAGUUACCUUUGAUUCAAAAGUCAGUCCACUGUUUGCAGUACUUACUUAUAAGAAUGUGGUUUAAUAAUUUUGCAGAGUAAAAUUUAGAGAGGUUUUGAGGGCUUAGUUGACGAAAAUUUAACAAAUAUAUGGAAGGCCAAGCUAAGAAUCAGGGCCUGACAGAUAUUAUUACACUAUGAGGUCUCAUUUCGAUUUACUCUACCAUUUAUUUAUUUUUUGAAUAAUUGAAAUGGAAUUCAUAUAUAUUCAUUCUUAAGAAAUUGUUCUAAUAUUGCCCCUUUCCUACCUAGUACUGUAUUAUUUUUUCUUGACAAGGCGCACAAAUAAAUAAGACAUUUUAUUUUAGUUGUCAUUGAUAGGUUGCAAUUUUAUCAUUUAUUUUAUUAUUAAUUUUCCCUAUUACCUGACUUGAUGUGAAUUAAUUAUUAGAUUCUACUCACUUUUCGUAAUUUACAUUUAUUUCAGAGAGUAGAACAAAAAUAUCACAAUCAAGGCCAAUUUGACAGUCAUCGGGAAAGAAUUCAAAUAGCAGGCAAUUAAAGGCAUUCUUGGAACAAGGAGAUGCAAGACCUUUUUGGUAAUUUUGAGCCAAGACAGCAACUAAAAAAGGGAAAAGAAAGCAAACCUGGGGAAGCGUCCAGAGGCUUCGUCCUCUCCGCAAGGGGGAGCCGCCGCACAAGGCAGGAGCAAUAGAGAGGAACUAGAAUUGGAAAUGGCAGGAGGGGAGCACUACUCUGGAGCUUUAGCGUUGACUUUUCCUUCCUUUGCUUCUUAGUAGUUUUUGUCUUCUCUCGGAUGUCAGGAACAAUUGAAGCAUUGAAUCAUUUCCUUGUAGCUUUUUCGUUUGAUUUUUCCUUGUGACCUGUAGUGGAUUCCUCCUGCCACAUGAUGGCCGCAGCUCUUGUUUCAAUUUUGUAUGGGUUUUGUUCAUCAAAUAUAAACUAAUUUUCUCAUUCUAGUCAAGGGACAACGGAUGCUCUGAUUCGACUAAAAUUGUGAGAUCGCUUUAAUUUUAUCCUUUUCUUUAUUUAUUGGUAUUCGCAUAUUUCCUGAUUAUAGUACUUAAGAUUGUUUAAUUAAUUGAUUGUCUUGGAUCCGGAUAAUUAGUUAAUUUGAUAAUCUAUUGUCAAUUGGGACGUUAAAUCCGUAAUUGUUUAAUUGUCUCAAAAUAGUGAUAACUGGCAUGAUUGGGUUUGUGUUAGGGGGAUGUGCGGGCCAAUCUGAAAUAACCCUGGUAGUGCGUUAUUUGGUUAGAAUAGGGCUCCUCUAAUUCGUAAGGCAAUUGAGGAAUUAAAUCUUACGGGCGUACCUAAGAUUAUUUUUUAAUUAGAGUAGUGAUUAACGGACGUACCUUAAUCACCGAUACAGUAAGGAGGGGUUAACUGUCAUCGCUUGUUUGGCAGUUAUAACCUAUUUAUUAGUAAAUAAUUGGAAUUGCCUUUGUUUCAAUGAUCAAUUAGGUGAACCAUUGCUGAAGUUAUUUCUUGGCUAGAUCCUUAAUUAUCACUCAUUUGAUUUUAGUAAUUUGUUAUUUAAUUUUUAGUAGUUUCUUAGAUUUUAUUUGAAUUUCUUUGAGUGUCACCUUCUGCACAAAAACAUUCCCCUUUGUCACUGUGAAUUUGAAAAGAAACAAUUACUCCCAGUCCCUGUGGAUUCGACCCUACUCACCGCUAUCUACAGAAAUUACUUUUAGUUUGAGCAGGUUUUAUUAUUGCACAGGUUUCGACACCCUGUCAGUCAUGAAUUAGGAAAAGAGCUUUUUUCCUGAAAUUCAUUUUUUAAUGUUUCUUGAUUUUUGUCUCCUACCAAGAAAAAAAAAAAAAAAAGUAUCUGUCCUUUUGGUUUCUCAUAUUUUUGCAACUUUUGCAGGUAUGUAUCAACAAAUUGUCAUUGGGAUAUAUGUGUGUGUUUGUGUGCGCGUGCACGCAUGUGUAAAUGUAUGUAUGUACAUAUAUGUGCAUAUGUGUAUGUAUGUACAUACAUACAUAUAUACAUACAUAUAUAUGUAUAUAUAUGUGUGUAUGUAUAUAUAUGUAUACAUAUAUACACCACACCACACACCACACCACACACAUGCAUAUAUAUAUAUAUAUAUAUGUGUGUGUGUGUUUAUGUAUAUAUAUGUAUGUAUGUAUGUAUGUACAUACGUACGUUCAUCAAGGAUUUUCAGCCAACUCAUUGCUUUGUGUACUAGCCACAAAGGUAUUCCUAACAACUACCAUUUAAUUGUUGGAUACAUUAAUUAAUCUAAAGGACAAACCUGCAAGGCUGUUGGAUCUCAUUAAUUAAAUAAGAGCCCAGUGUACAUCUUGGUCAUCAUGACCAGUUAAUGGCAAUAAGGUUGUACUCUCUAUCUUGCCGAAGAGUGGCCAAAUCGAAGAGGCGCCUUAAUGUUUAUCACUACAAACUUACAAAAAUUAUUUUGGUUUCUACAGGUAAAUUCUGCAAGCAAUUGAAAAGCAAAAAGUUCAACCGGCAGAAAAUUGUGUGGAUUAUUAAAUCUUAAUGCACAAUAACUUUUGCGACAAUCUUAAGCCUAAUUAAUAACUCGUAAUCCACCAUAAGCCGUGAUGAUUGCUGCGCCCAAUGCGAUAGGGAAAAAAUAAAAAAAAAGAAACUCGUUUUCCAGUCACCUUCGUGCACUUCAAUCCUGUUAACUUUCUCAUUCACAAGAUCUGGGAGUUGGUGUGCUUCAGCGCCAAAGCUAGGAAGAACUCAUCAGCAUCAGACAUCAGCCUGAAUUCAGCCUCCAACUUACCUACUAAUUUACUAGUCAUAGUAGAGAGUUCCUACUAAUUGAUCAAACCGAAAAAAAAAAAAAGAAGAAGAAAAGCCCUACUAAUAACCUUGAACAAUACUAUGUUUUAUGCAACUCAGCCACUUGACUACCUGAUCUAUAGAUGCUUCAUUAAUUGGUUGGCUCCCACAAGUUACAAAUGUGUGGUUCUCUUUUCUUUUAGCUGCAAAAUAUGCGUGUAAUCGUGAAGAUGAACGCAUGUUGCAAUAUCUUCUCAUGCAAAUGAUAUACUGCUGCGUUUAGCCAAUACUGUCACACUUGAUUAUUAGUUAAAUUGGUAAAUGCUCCACUUCUGUCUCCAACGGGGAAUUCAAUGGGAAAUAAUGAUGUGGGGUAUACUUCUUUUUUUAGGGGCGCCGGGUUAUACAUUUUUAUCUAAUCCUUAUCCAUAGAAAGCAGAAAUCAAAAUUGCUCUACAUUUCAAUUGAAGUCCAUGAUAAUUUUUUGGACAAGUUUGAUUUGUUUUGUACAGUUAUAUGUUUAGGACAACAUGCCAAGAAUCGACCAAAAGUAGACUCACAAAACACUAGCGUACGUAGCUUAAAGGACAAUUUCGAUUUUGCAUAGGUAAUGUUUUGAUAGAUUUUCAGCUUGCACUUUAAACUUCUAUUUUAAAGUCUUUUAGUUUUAUGAAUACACUUUUUUUUCUGUAAUCUAUCUGUAAUCAAAAUAUAUAAUGGGCUUUGAGUAUUCCUAAGAAGAAGCGCAAUUCACUUUUGCAAAAGAAGUAAAAUUAAGAAGUGAAAUUGUUAUUUAAAUUUAUAUAUUUGUUGUGCAGGUGCGUACAUUUAUUGUUCCUAUGCAUACAUUGUAGAGUUCAAUUGUAACUAACAUUGUGGAGAUACUACACGCCAAUGUUGUACUUUCUGCUGGUUUAGUUCACCUCUUUGGGGACAUUUAGCAAGAAGUCAAGAUAUGAUAAAUAAGUGUGUGUGAUACAGCAAAAUUUUAUUAAAUUACAUGACGAAAUUGUGAUCUAACUGAAGUUUUGCUCAUGUUCCUUCGUUAGAAAAUCAAUUAACGUGUUUGUUAUCACAAGAUUACUUAUGCAAUUUAGAGAUCCUCUUUUGAUUAAGAAACCAAAAGAGAUAUUUAAAGAGAGGAAACUAGAGAGAUCCUUGAAGUUUGAAGGUUCAUUAUGGUGAACCGAUGCACUUAGCAUUUAUGUCUUCUUCAAGCCAAAACACUGAGAUAGAUAUAAAGCCACACCAAACAUUUAUUGAUCUUUGCCUUCAAAAUUCGUCGAAAUUCACUAAUUAGAUUGAUCUUUUCUACACAGCAUAUAAUUGUAAUUACACAUGCAAUUCGAAAUUCAAGUUACUUGUAUUAAAAGAAUUUUGCUAGUUCAUCUAUGAUGAUACGUAAAUCAAAGAGUGCAUGGGUUAGAAAAGUUAUGGCAUGGUAUCAGUGAAUGUCGCUCGUUUUGUGGAGUUCUAAACCUUGAGGUGGUUCGGAAUUUUAUUGCAGCCAACUUUGAUCCUAAUGGGGGGGGGGGGGGGGGGGGACGGGGAUAAAAUCAGGCUUUUCCAAUAGAACUGGCUCACAGAUUAAAAGGGUGUGAUCCCUUUUCCCUCUUGCAUGUUGCAAUUUGAUUAACUUCCAGUGCGUUUAGGAAAACAUUAGUAUAAAGGAGUGAAAGAGUGCCUGAAAUUUGCAAUGGCGAAAGUGUAUGGACAUUAUUUGUGCAGACAUUUGAGAGAGAAUGCUGAGCUGAUAAUCCUUGAUGGAGCAGGGCAUUCAUGGGGUUAUGAAAAAAUCUAAGGAGUUAUAUAAGCACCUAAAAACCUUUCUCAUAGGCUGAAUCAACCAACCGACUUUAGGCACUUCAAUCCUUCCUCUUCAACUCACAGAAGAAAAUUUGUCGUUCAACUCAAUUUUCGAGGCUAAAAAUGUAGAGGAAAGCCUCUAAUCAAUUGAAUUUAUAGGUACACUUUGUUUCCCAGAAUAAAUAACUGACAAUGAUGGUUAAUAAUUCUUUCAACAAUGUUCCAUUCAUGAUGUAUCUUUACUCAAGCUAUUGUAGAUCAUACAAAUUCCACUUGUGGAAGGAAGACGGGAAAAUUAAACCAUGUUCAUGGCUGGCCACUAAAUCCUUUGUUAAUGACUUCUAAUCAACUACUACUAUUUCAAAGAUACCAUAAGACCACUAAAAAUUCAGCUAAACACAUACCAUUCUGGGUAAACGAUGUCAUGGCCCUCAAAUGACCUAAUCAGCCUAACUUCAAGGGUGCCUAUUAUGAAAAGGACCAUAUGCCCAAAUUGUUUCACAUCCUAAAUUAUCUAAGUAAAAGUAUAUUGAGACAAGAAAAAAAGAAAAAAAAAAGAAUAGAUAAACUAUGCUCCCUUUCUUUUCAAAAUAUUCAAUCGGUAAGCACUAAUCAAACUGAAUAGUCUCAAAAGCAUAACUCAAUCAUAUAAUGAUCACAGAGAAUAGCGAAAAAAGAAAGGGAGAAGAAGCGGUGGUCUAGUACUCUGGUCGCAGACUCAAAUUUUGGUUUUUGGAGAAGGGUCGGUAGUAGUGGUUUUCGACAGAGAAUGAUAGAGACUGAAGUUUGAGAGUCUGAGAGUGUGGACUUAGGGUUUAGUUCUUUUAGGAAUUUUAUUUUUAAAAUUUUUAACGGGAUCAAAUUGACUGCAAUGCCCAAGAAACUAGCUGUACUACAAAAGUUAAGGGUAGAAAUUUCUCAAUAAGUUCUGAACACUUAUGUGUUUUAAGUCAUAUAAAUUUAAUUAUUUAAUAUUUACACCAGCGCUCGAUAGCACACUAUAUUCCUACUUGCACUCGACUCAUUAAAACAAUCGAACAUGUUUGAAAUUGAUUCAAACAUGAUCAAAGUCAAAACAAGACGAUCCAUUGAUCAAGCAGCUCCAUAUGUGCACCCGAGUUGCUUGAUUCGCAUACAUUCCUAUCGCAAAAUCAUAGUAAUUGAACCUUCAACAUCGAGUAUAGGAUUGGCCUUUGUUAUUCACCUAAUGCUUAAGUACAUAGCCUGACAGAGCCGGCAUUCUUCCAAUCACCUUGAUGAACAUCAAUGCCAUGGACUUUCUCGGAACCCAGAUUUGGAAGUUGGUGUGCUUUACAACCAAAGCUAUUGAAGAACUCAUCAGGAUCAGACUUGGAUCUUUAUCUCAGCCUCCAACUUUUCUGCUGUAUUAGCCAUAGUUUUUUCUAGCUCUACUAGUAAAAAAGCUACUGAUUUUCAGCUCACCUUCACCUAGUAGAAUGCAAAUGCUAACGUAUAUGUACCUUAACCAUCGGACCACCGCUUAUAUAGGAUCAGUUCCAUUUUUCCGUACAUUUGUGAUGGUUUGUACUAAUAUCUUUGCUUUUUAUCAAUUGUGUUUUAGGUUUAUGUAGUUAUACCGCUCAUACCUAUGCUUAAAUUUCAAUAUACUAAUUGGGCUUAAGUAGCAAAGUUUUGAAAUUUAAUUUAAAAAGAAAAAAAAAAAAAAAAAGAAAACCUGGCUACAUUAUUUUUGGAUUAGGUCAGGAAAUUUGCCUUGCUAUUCUUCUUCAUCAUAGUCAAGACAAAAUUUCUGUUGUUAGACUAUUACCAAGAUUAGGUUAAUUAUCUAUGUCCUUUGAUGUGAGGCAACAUGUCCCAGAUUAAAAUUAAGGGGCAGAUAAAAUGUCAUAUUAAUCCAAGAAAACCCAACUGCAACCAGAACUAGAUUUCAUGCCAUCACCUAAGACGAGUGGGUUAGAAAGAUUUGUUUGCUUGAUAUGUGAUAAUACAGGCUUCGUUAAUAAGUUAUUAAUGCGAAUAUGCAAAACAAAUGGUUACAUUAUAGAUUCCUGUGCUUUGUGUUAAAGCUUUUUUUUUUUUUUUGGCAACAAAUUUUUGGACUGCACGGAUCAUUCCUUGCUGCUUUUAGAUUUCAAAACAGAAGCUACAAAGUACAGAACAUUUUCAGUUUUAGAAAUGCACCUCGGUUUUUCAAAAGGUGCAUUGACUACUGUAAAGAAUAGUUUCAGCUCCAUGAGAUCGAUGCCAGUAAGAUAGUUAAAUCAGCAGUGAUAAAUGUUAUGCAAUGAACCACUGUUAUAUAUAGGAAGCAUGCUGCGAUAAUGAUACCCCAUGAGGAAAAACAGAAACCCUAAUAAUCAUAGCGAUGAUAGUAACACUAAACCUAGAGUUAUGAACUAGUUCUUCGAGUUAAUUAAGAAUUUCUUGGUCACAUCUUUGUAGUCAAGUCAUCCAAACAAAAUUGUAUUCCCUCGUUUAUCCCAAUUGUACCAAGAGACCAUUAUUUGGCGAAAAAGACAACAGAGAAAACAUGUCAGACAUAAUCAUAUAAUCAGUGCUCCCAUAGCCAAAAUGCGCAGGAUUAGAUGUAGUUGGGUAUUAAUGGAGCAAAUUUCUUGACGUCUUCACUUGAGGAGAAGACGACAAACUGAAUUUAACUCAAAAAAUAAUAAUAAAAUUGCGUUUAAAGGAGCUGCAAUGAAUUUAGUUAGGAAUAUGGAAUUAACCUAUCUGGAGAAAGAUGGACAACAUUAAGCAAACAACAUGCGUUUGAAAAAGACUAGCAUUGAUGAAAGGGUUAAAUGCAAAAUACCCCCCACAAACUAUAUACCUAGUUGCAGUUUACCCCCUAAACUAUAAUAAUAGACAUUUUGCCUCCUUGAAUGAUAUGUUUGGACAAAUCUACCCCUUUUAUUUUAAGCAUUGUUAUUUUUCUUUUUUCCCUAUCAUUUUCUUUUUAAAUUCUUCCUUUUUUUUCUUUAAACAUUGUUUAAAUAAGUAGACUAGAUUAGUCAAAAUUUGUUUAUUUCUUAAUUUCAUAUGUCAAUAUUUUAUAAAAAAAAAAUCUAUGGAAUACAAGAUUUUUUUUCCAAAUGUUGAAGUCAAUGUCAUUUAUGAAAUUGAACUUUUCAAAUAUAUAAUAACAAAAUAGAGAAAUUGAUUAAUCAAUUAUUAGUAGUAUCAAUAACCAAAAAAAUGAACUACUAUUGUUGUUUAUUCUUAUUUUUUAUUUCACUACAAAUAACAAUUGCUAACUUUUCUUUUUUAUGUGAUAUAUAAUAUGUUACUUUUAUUAUAAGUAGUUGAGUAACUGUGAACUCUUAAUUAGUUUAUUGGCACUUAAAUUGUUGAAUUACUAGAUUAAUACACUUUACAAUAUAAGCUACAUAUAUUUUGUAAUAACAAAGAGUUUAUGACAAAUUAUUAAGAAUGAAUUUAACAAAUAAACAAAUUAAAAAAGCAGUUUAAAAAAUAUUAAAAUUUUUUAUGUAAGUCUUUUCACAUCGGAGAGAGGCAUUGGCUAGUUUCACGAAAGAAGGAGAAACAAAAAAAAAAUGAAAAAAUGAAAAAAGCUAAUAGAGAAAAAAAGAAAGAAAGGAUUUAAGAUAGUAGGGGUAAUAUUGUCCAAACAUAUCAUUUAAGGGGGAAAAAUGACUAUUAUUAUAAUUUAUGGGGUAAACUGCAACUGGGUAUAUAGUUUAUGGGGAGUUUUUUGCAUUUAACCCUUGAUGAAAAGACUAAUAAAGUCAACAGUAUGCCCACACAAAAUUCAAUUUCCAAGUCACCAUUCCAACCACUUCUUUGACUAAUCCUAAACUUGGAGGUUGAGCUCCAUAAAAAAGUUUAUUCAAAGGCAAAACGAUUUGGGAAUUGCAAUGGGAAGCAAGUCGUUAAAUGAAGUAAUCAAACAUCACUUAGUAAAGGCUUACUAAACUAGUUAAUAAAGAUGUUGUUGGGCUGCUGUAUUCACCAUGAAUUGAUUUAAAGAUGAAAGUUCAGGAUCUUUAACAUGGAAUAUGGUGAUUUUUCUCCAAUUCUUCCUGGCUUUCUCUUUCUCUUUUAUUCAGGUCUCCCCGGCAGGAAAACAGAUACACAUAUAUAUAUACACACACAAAAAGAGAGAGAAAACAUACGAGAUCCUUACAAAAUUUGAAGGUUCAUUAUCGUGAACCAGUGCACUAAGCAUUUAUAUCUUCAUCAAGCCAAAAAAAAAAAAAGAAAGUUAAGAUAGAUAUAAAGCCACACGAAACAUUCAUUUUGUUUUUCAUCAUUACACGUAGAAUCGUUAACACAUACAAAUUACAACCAAGCACUAACAGCAGUAGAAUUGCUAACACUUAUACAAAUUACAACCAAUCACUAGCAGGAGUAGAAUUGCUAACACUUAUACAAACACUUGUACAAAUUACAACCAAUCACUAGCAGGAGUAGAAUUGCUAACACUUAUACAAAUUACAACCAAGCACUAACAGGAGUAGAAUUGCUAACACUUAUACAAAUUACAACCAAUCACUAGCAGGAGUAGAAUUGCUAACACUUAUACAAACACUUAUACAAAUUACAACCAAUCACUAGCAGGAGUAGA